GGAAUCUGGUUUCCCUUCAAAACGAAUAAAUCUUUCGACUGUUACUAGAGAUUUCCAUGGAGGGGAACAUUAAAUGAGUCUGUAAGAAACUUGUCGUAGUGCUCGGUAAAAGCCGCGCG